rnacentral:rRNA from 1 species
GAGUUUGAUCCUGGCUCACAACGAACGCUGGCGGCAGGCCUAACACAUGCAAGUCGAGCGCGCCUUCGGGUGAGCGGCGGACGGGUUAGUAACGCGUGGGAACGUGCCCUUCUCUACGGAAUAGCCUCUGGAAACGGAGAGUAAUACCGUAUACGCCCUUUGGGGGAAAGAUUUAUCGCAGAAGGAUCGGCCCGCGUUAGAUUAUGUAGUUGGUGGGGUAAUGGCCUACCAAGCCUACGAUCUAUAUCUGGUUUUAGAGGAUGAUCAGCAACGCUGGGACUGAGACACGGCCCACACUCCUACGGGAGGCAUCAGUGGGGAAUCUUAUACAAUGGGGGCAACCCUGAUCUAGCCAUGCCGCGUGAGUGAUGAAGGCCUUAGGGUCGUAAAGCUCUUUCGCCUGUGAUGAUAAUGACAGUAGCAUGUAAAGAAACCCCGGCUAACUCCGUGCCAGCCGCCGCGGUAAUACCGAGGGGGUUAGCUUUGUUCGGAAUUACUGGGCGUAAAGCGCGCGUAGGCGGAUUAGAAAGUUGGGGGUGAAAUCCCGGGGCUCAACCUCCGAACUGCCUUCCAACUGCUAGUCUAGAGUUCGAGAGAGGUGAGUGGAAUUCCGAGUGUAGAGGUGAAAUUCGUAGAUAUUCGGAGGAACACCAGUGGCGAAGGCGGCUCACUGGCUCGAUACUGACGCUGAUGUGCGAAAGUGUGGGGAGCAAACAGGAUUAGAUACCCUGGUAGUCCACACCGUAAACGAUGAAUGCCAGUCGUCUGGUAGUAUACUAUUCUGUGACACACCUAACGGAUCAAGCAUACCUCCUGGCGUGUACGGUCGCAGAUUAAAACUCAUUCGAAUCGACGGAGCCCGCACACGCGGUGGACCAUGUGGUUUAUUCGAAGCAACCCGCACAAUCUUUACCAACCCUUGUCAUCCUGCGCUACAUCCAUAGAUGCAUGGU